rnacentral:rRNA from 1 species
AGCGAACGCUGGCGGCAGGCCUAACACAUGCAAGUCGAACGAUCCCUUCGGGGAUAGUGGCAGACGGGUGAGUAACGCGUGGAAACGUGCCCUUUGGUUCGGAACAACACAGGGAAACUUGUGCUAAUACCGAAUGUGCCCUUCGGGGGAAAGAUUUAUCGCCAUUGGAGCGGCCCGCGUUGGAUUAGGUAGUUGGUGAGGUAAAGGCUCACCAAGCCUACGAUCCAUAGCUGGUCUGAGAGGAUGAUCAGCCACACUGGGACUGAGACACGGCCCAGACUCCUACGGGAGGCAGCAGUGGGGAAUCUUGCGCAAUGGGCGAAAGCCUGACGCAGCCAUGCCGCGUGAAUGAUGAAGGUCUUAGGAUUGUAAAAUUCUUUCAGCAGGGACGAUAAUGACGGUACCUGCAGAAGAAGCCCCGGCUAACUUCGUGCCAGCCGCCGCAGUAA